rnacentral:lncRNA from 1 species
AAUAUGACCUAGACUGACUAAUUUGGGUAAUUAGUUUCAUAUAAUUUUUCUAUUAGUGGAAAUAUAUUAUGAAACCUUGUUACAACAUACUUUUAAGAUAAAAAAAGCCAAAAACAUAUUAAAUAUUAGUGACUAAAUAUUCGAGUAAUUUAUUUGAUAUAAACUUCCCAAUAAUAGAAGAAAAAAAAGACAUAUUUUGAAUGUAAUAUUUAUUGGUAAUAAUGAAAUUAUAAGAGCUAAAAAGAGUUUUAAUUAAUAUUAAUAAAACGUAUUUAACGAUAAUAAUAAUAGAAGUGCUUAGUUCUUGCUUACUCUCUCUAUAAUCUAAAAAAAAGCUAAUAACAAAGCUUAAGCUUCUUCCCUUAUUUAAUCUGCAAAAAAAACGACAAGAUGUUUCCUUCUUCACGACGAAGACGACGAGGCGUUUACAUUUCCUNNN